rnacentral:rRNA from 1 species
UCGCAGUCUGCAACUCGACUGCGUGAAGUCGGAAUCGCUAGUAAUCGCGGAUCAGCAUGCCGCGGUGAAUACGUUCCCGGGCCUUGUACACACCGCCCGUCACACCAUGAGAGUCGGGAACACCCGAAGUCCGUAGCCUAACCGCAAGGGGGCGCGGCCGAAGGUGGGUUCGAUAAUUGGGGUGAAGUCGUAACAAGGUACC